rnacentral:rRNA from 1 species
GGAUUAGAUACCCUGGUAGUCCACGCCGUAAACGAUGGGCACUAGAUGUGGGCGGUGUCGACUCCGUCCGUGUCGAAGCUAACGCAUUAAGUGCCCCGCCUGGGGAGUACGGCCGCAAGGCUAAAACUCAAAGGAAUUGACGGGGGCCCGCACAAGCAGCGGAGCAUGUGGUUUAAUUCGACGCAACGCGAAGAACCUUACCUAGGCUUGACAUGUCCGUGAAAACCGUGGAAACACGGUCCCUCUUCGGAGCACGGUCACAGGUGGUGCAUGGCUGUCGUCAGCUCGUGCCG